rnacentral:rRNA from 1 species
AGCAGCCGCGGUAAUUCCAGCUCCAAUAGCGUAUAUUAAAGUUGUUGCAGUUAAAAAGCUCGUAGUUGAAUUUCGGGGUUAGUACGCUGGUCAUGCCUUCGGUAUGUACUGGUGUUACCGAUUCCUACCUUCUGAAGAACCGUCAUGUCAUUAGUUUGGUGUGGCGGGGAAUCAGGACUGUUACUUUGAAAAAAUUAGAGCGUUUAAAGCAGGCUCGCGCUUGAAUACAUUAGCAUGGAAUAAUGAAAUAGGACGUUCGAUCCUAUUUUGUUUGGUUUCUAGGAUUGACGUAAUGAUUAAUAGGGAUAGUUGGGGGCAUUAGUAUUCAAUUGUCAGAGGUGAAAUUCUUGGAUUUAUUGAAGACUAACUACUGCGAAAGCAUUUGUCCAAGGAUGUUUUCUAUUAAUCAAGAACGAAAGUUAGGGGGAGUCGAAGACGAUCAGAUACCGUCGUAGUCUUAACCAUAAACUAUGCCGACUAGGGAUCGGAUGAUGUUGAUUUUUUAAUUGACUCAUUCGGC